AUUGAACGCUGGCGGAAUUCUUUACACAUGCAAGUCGAACGGCAGCACGGGGCAACCUGGUGGCGAGUGGCGAACGGGUGAGUAAUACAUCGGAACGUGCCCAAUCGUGGGGGAUAACGUAGCGAAAGUUACGCUAAUACCGCAUACGAUCUACGGAUGAAAGCGGGGGAUCGCAAGACCUCGCGCGAAUGGAGCGGCCGAUGUCAGAUUAGGUAGUUGGUGGGGUAAAGGCUCACCAAGCCAACGAUCUGUAGCUGGUCUGAGAGGACGACCAGCCACACUGGAACUGAGACACGGUCCAGACUCCUACGGGAGGCAGCAGUGGGGAAUUUUGGACAAUGGGCGCAAGCCUGAUCCAGCCAUUCCGCGUGCAGGAUGAAGGCC
rnacentral:rRNA from 1 species